GCCAACCACCUAUUUACAAACAUUAAUUAAGUGGCAUAAUUACUACUUUAGCCCCUUAAGUUUAUUUCAAUUUAUAAUUCAACUUUUAACCCUUACGCAAUUUAGUCCCUAUACCUUAAUAACUCCUAAUUUCACAAAAUUCACUAUCCAAAAAUUAAUUAGCUACUAAGCUAGCCUCGUAAAUAUUUAAUAAAAAUAUUUACAGGUCUAGUUUACGGUUACGGAGUCCUGGGAAUACACUUUUCGACACCCCUGACUAUCGGGUCGUUACAAUUCUCCCC
rnacentral:lncRNA from 1 species